GCUGUGAGUCGUUCCUGUGGAAUCGGGGAGCCUGCAGGGAGGUCACCCUUUGUUCCCUCUGACAGAGGCGGCUUGGCUGGUGGCUGUGGUCUCAGCAGAACCCUGAAGUCAGCAGAGCUUGUAUCAGGGACCUUCCCACUUUCCUUGCUCACACUCCCGGCCUUCCCUCCCUGCGGGAAGGCUCCCAUCCCAGGCCCAGCCGGUGUCUCCUCUCCAGGACAGGCGCGGAGGAGGAGGCAGAGUAAAACCAGCCACCGCUCAGUGAGCACGUGCUACGCCCCAGGCCCCGGAGGGGAACAGGCUUUUUUCCUGUUCGGUGGAAAUGUUUGUGCUGCCAAGAGUCCAGCAGAGGAGAGACAGGAGAGGAAGACAGCACCUGCAUGGUCCCACGUGCGGGGCGUUUUGUGGGGAGCUCCAAGCUGGGAACAGAGGCCUUUCCCUGUUGCUCAGAAGGCUGCAUGGAGAAUUCUGAACGCCCUUCCAAAUUAUUUGGUUGAGACUGGAGGCAGGCAGCGAGGCACACCAAAAACAUGACAACAACCCCGGGGACCCUGCAGUCACUGCUGGCCUGGAGGAAGAUGGGACACCAGGCCUGUCGCUGGGGCAUGGUCAGCUCAUGAGCCCGAAGGUCUCAGGAACAAGGGGCGUUGGCCAAGCUCCCCAGCCUGAUUGUGGUCCCCUGCAGGAGUGGCUGAGGGAGUCUACACAAACUGCUCCGAGGCUGGGGCUUUAGCAGCUAUGAGUGCCGACAGAGCCCCUGAGGAGGUGAAUGGCCAUCAGCCCAGCCAGAGUGGAGCCCUGCAGCCUGGUCUACCCUGGACAUAAUCCCUGAUUUGUACCUGAGCCUGUACCUGAGAUUACAUUUCCCAGCCUCCUUUGCAGCUAGGUGUGGUCAUGUGACUAAGUUCUAACCAACGGGAUGUGAGCACAAAGUGAUGUGCAUAGCUUCAGUAAAGAAAAGGGCAUGACCAGGCGCAGUGGCUCACUCCUGUAAUCCCAGCACUUUGGGAGUUUGAAACCAGCCUGGCCAAAAUGGUGAAACCCUGUCUCUACUAAAAAUACAAAAAUUAGCCAGCAUGGUAGCACACACCUGUAAUCCCAGCUACUAGGGAGACUAAGGCAGGAGAAUUGCUUGAGUCCGGUGGGUGGAGGUUGCAGUGAGCCAGG
rnacentral:lncRNA from 10 species